rnacentral:rRNA from 1 species
UUGGAGGGCAAGUCUGGUGCCAGCAGCCGCGGUAAUUCCAGCUCCAAUAGCGUAUAUUAAAGUUGUUGCAGUUAAGAAGCUCGUAGUUGAAUUUCGAGACCGGUUUAUUGGUCGUGCUUUUGUACGUACUGGUAUUAUUGGUUUCUCCUUUCUGACGAAUCUUAAUGCCAUUAAUUUGGUGUUUUGGGGAAUCAGGACUGUUACUUUGGAAAAAUUAGAGUGUUUAAAGCAGGCUCACGCUUGAAUACAUUAGCAUGGAAUAACGGAAUAGGACGUUUGAUUCUAUUUUGUUGGUUUCUAGGAUCGACGUAAUGAUUAAUAGGGAUAGUUGGGGGCAUUAGUAUUCAAUUGUCAGAGGUGAAAUUCUUGGAUUUAUUGAAGACUAACUACUGCGAAAGCAUUUGCCAAGGAUGUUUUCAUUAAUCAAGAACGAAAGUUAGGGGAUCGAAGACGAUCAGAUACCGUCGUAGUCUUAACCAUAAACUAUGCCGACUAGGGAUCGGAUGAUGUUAAUUUUUUAAUGACUCAUUCGGCGCCUUACGGGAAAC